rnacentral:lncRNA from 1 species
AGUUAUCCUUGAAGAAAAAGGAGGUCGAUGUGUUUGCCGAAGCUGCCCAAGAAGGACUCACGGAGCUUGGAAAGCAUACAAGAAUAAGCCAAGAAAAAAGCCAUAACCCCAUCUUUGCAACUUGAAAGCUGGGGAAGUAGGAGAGGUGGGCUUAGUAUCCUUCAGACUAUUGGAGUCUUGAGAGAGUACAAUACACUGAAGCUUAUAGCAGCUUUGAUUCCUUGCAUAUUCCCUGUGACUCACAAUUAUACAAUGCUAGCUCUCACACUAGAUCUGGUCCUAAAAAAACCUGUUGGGUGUCCAUCCAUCAA